CCAGAGUGAACUUAUUUUCCGAACAGUUUUAUAUGGUAACGCAACAUCAUAAAAGUAAGAAACCCCAUUCAAUAGGAACAAUACAAUAAACUAGUGGAAAAAGUGGCGUUGCUUCUAUGGCCUUUGCCGGAGCAACACCAGAGUAACAAUAAUCCGGCCAAAUCUGGCCACAUCCAGUUGAUACAUUAAAAGAAAAGAAGAGUGAAAGAGGAAGGAGAGCAUGGAUUGGCGGCGUUGCUGGUGUGUUUGGCUGAAGACGCAGCAGCGGUGGCAAAUCCACCGACUGCUGCUGUCGUUGGUUGCUGCUAUUGCUCCGGUGGUGAGGGGGCUCACCUACGUGGAUGGUCGCUGGCUCUCUGGUGGCGACGGGGCUGAUUUGGGGGUUCCCGCCGGUGUAAAUCCAGCGAUGGCAGUGUGCGGCAAUAAAGAUGAUGUUGGUGUAGAGAGAAAAGGAAGGUUGGGGAGAGAGAGAGAGAGUUAAGAGAGAG
rnacentral:lncRNA from 1 species